rnacentral:rRNA from 1 species
UACAGAGACUGCAAGCGUUAUUCGGAUUCACUGGGCGUAAAGGGUGCGCAGGCGGCCGUGUGUGUCAGGUGUGAAAGCCCGGGGCUUAACCCCGGAACUGCGCCUGAAACUACAUGGCUAGAGCAUUGGAGAGGGUAGCGGAAUUCACGGUGUAGCAGUGAAAUGCGUAGAUAUCGUGAGGAACACCAGAGGCGAAGGCGGCUACCUGGACAAUUGCUGACGCUCAGGCACGAAAGCGUGGGGAGCAAAAGGG